rnacentral:rRNA from 1 species
GACGAACGCUGGCGGCGUGCUUAACACAUGCAAGUCGAACGGAAAGGCCCGGCUUUUGUGGUUUUCUCGAGUGGCGAGCAGGUGAGUGAAACGUGAGUAUCACCCCCUUUGCAGUGGGGGAACUUCAGGAGAAUGGGGAGCAAACAGGAUAUGAGAUCCUGCUGCAUGGGGGGGGUUGGAGAAAUGCGGCGUUUCGGGAUGGACUCGCGGCUUAUCGGCUUGUUGGCGGGGAAGUGGAUUACACAGGCAUUGACGGGUAGCCGGCCUGAGAGGGUGACCGGGCCCAGAGGGACUGAGAUACGGCCCAGACUGAUUCGGGAGGCAGCAGUGGGGAAUAGUGCACAAUGGGCGGAAGGAGGAAGCAGCAACGCCGCGUGCGGGAUGACUGUUGUCGGGUUGUAAACCGUUUGCGCCUGUGACGAAGCGUCAGUGACGGUAAUGUAUAAAGAAGCACCGGCUAACUACGUG